UUUAUACUCCCUUCGUUCAACAAAAAAUGUCUUAAAUUUGUCGAAAUUUGGAUGUAUCUAGACACGACUUAGUGUAUAAAUGUAUUCAAAUUUGAUCAAAAUUGAGACAUCCUUUGUUGUACGGAGGAAUAUAAA
rnacentral:pre_miRNA from 1 species